rnacentral:lncRNA from 1 species
AAAAAUACAAUAAAAGACAAAAACUAUCCUUUAUUUUGAUUACGAAACGAAAUUUUGGGACGUAAACCAUUAAAGUACUUAGGUAUCGCUAAGCUUAUUCAAAUAUUAGGUAUAUUACAGAGUACCUACAAAAGUUAGGCAAAACAAUUGUAGGUAAAAUCACAGCAAAAUAUACUUUGUACCAUAGAAGGCAGGAUAAUUUUAAAAUUCGCAAUAAAUUCUAAAAUUAUCCGUUUUUAGUCAGUAUCCUCUUAACAAACGAAUUGAUUAGUAGUUGAAACAAAUAAAACAGUUUUUAAUGCUCAAAAUAAUAUUAAAUUAAUUAGUGAACAUGAGUUCUGAUUUUCUCUUGCUGUUUUGCUUAAGUUUCGGGUUUGUACAAAAUAUGUUAGUGUACGAAGAUGAAUUCCAUUAUAGAAUUGGGCGUAACAUGAAAUUAAAUGACGACAAUAUCCUCAAUUUUGCAUUCCAUCCUCAGAACAAGUUAAAUAUGUUCGUAGUUUUGAAAAAUGUAACGGAAGAUCCGUCGAAACACAUAUGGUUGACAUAUACAACGGGUAAGGUUAUUCAAUAAUGUUUAGCCAACUUCGAAACAAGGAGAUUCGCGUCGCCCUGAAUGUUUUCAACAAUUUUUUAAUUAAUUUUUCAAUUAUUUGUCUGCAAUUAUUUCAACUUUGACUGAACGACACCUUCCUACAAAGUCAAAAUCAUUUAUUAAAAUAGGCUAAUAUCUACGAUUAGCACUUUUUAACGUAAGAAUUUUACAAGAAUGACAGCACCCCCAAAACGCCCCCCUUUCACCACUUCCUAGUGCUACGGAUGCUAAAAGGCAUUUGUUUUCGAAUUUUAUGGCUUGAAGGCGAAAUAAAUCUUUCAGGUUCUAGAAGUCGUGAGUAUAAUCUUAUGUCUUAUAGAGAGAGCUGCAGCUUUAAUUAUCUAACAAGCCUUAUGCCAGAGUUUUGUCAAAUCGACAUGACGGCCUCUGACGUGAAUUGUAACAACGACGGCUACUGACUAGCAUUGGGGGACGCCGGCUACUGAAGUUUUAGAAAUAAUUUUCGAAGUCGGAACCUACCUACUAAUUUUUUUCUCCCUUUUCUUCAGAUGAAAGAUCUUUAGUUAGUAUACUUACUUCGCCAAAAAAUGGAACAUUUUCUAUAGAUGAAGGCCUCUCGGACUUGAAGGAAAUUGACGUGACUCUACGGCUCUCAACAGUGGUAACCAAAAUUGCUACAGGACGCCGUGAUGAUUCGUUAUCCCUGUUAACUAAUCCUGGAGUUUGCCUCAGAGCACAACAAUGUUAUAUUGUGUUGAAUUCGUCAGAUAUCCUAUCCACAAGAAAACGUUCAUUCUGGAAACCUGGAAAGCAGCCUAAAGGUAUAAAACUAAACAAUACCGGUGUUAACGAAACUGUAGAAACAUCCACAGUCUUCGAGACUGCAAGUGACACCGAGAGGGAUCACAAAAAUGCAGAUCCUUCUAGUAACACAACCAUUAUAAUAUCCGUAGUUUCCGUCAUUGUGAUAAUUGCUGUGCUAGUUAUAGCAGCUUGGAAAUGUUUUAGAAAACAUGAAGCUCAGAGUGUCCCUCAACCACAGGACCUCACAAAUAGAUAUUACGAGAACAUAGCACUUCGACGAAAGUCUGACGACACUGAGAAUGCAUCACAACCUCA